GACAGAGGUCCCGAGCGUUAGGCGGAAUCACUGGGCUUAAAGCGUGUGUAGGCGGAUCGUUAAGUGCCUUGUGAAAUUCCACGGCUUAACCGUGGAACUGCUUGGCAUACUGGCGGUCUUGAGCAACCUAGGGGCAAGCGGAACAAAUGGUGGAGCGGUGAAAUGCGUAGAUAUUAGGAAGAACACCAGAGGCGAAGGCGGUUCUCUGGGCCUGUACUGACGCUGAGGAGCGAAAGCGUGGGGAGCGAACAGG
rnacentral:rRNA from 1 species